GUGCUCACUUGACAGCACAUAUACUAAAAUUGGAACAAUACAGAGAUUAGCAUCUCCUCUAUGCAAGGAUGACACGCAAAUUCAUGAAGAGUUCCAUAUUUUG